rnacentral:rRNA from 1 species
UACGGGGGGAGCAAGCGUUGUUCGGAUUUACUGGGCGUAAAGGGCGCGUAGGCGGCCACGACAAGUCAGUUGUGAAAUCUCUGGGCUUAACUCAGAACGGUCAACUGAUACUGUCGGGCUAGAGUGCAGAAGGGGCAACUGGAAUUCUCGGUGUAGCGGUGAAAUGCGUAGAGAUCGGGAGGAACAUCUGUGGCGAAGGCGACUGCCUGGACCAGCACUGACACUGAGGCACGAAAGCGUGGGGAGCAAACAGG